UCGCCCGCCGCGCGCGGCGGGCGGGGCGGGGGCACGGGGGGCCUACGGGAGGCAGCAGUGAGGAAUAUUGCGCGAUGGGGGCAACCCUGACGCAGCGACGCCGCGUGAGUGAGGAAGGCCUUCGGGUCGUAAAGCUCUGUCAAAGGGGAAGAAGUGCAUGGUGGUUAAUAUCUGUCAUGUUUGACGGUACCCUUAAAGGAAGCACCGGCUAACUCCGUGCCAGCAGCCGCGGUAAUA
rnacentral:rRNA from 1 species